GCCUGGCUGGCUCAGUUGGUAGAGCAUGAGACUCUUGAUCUCUGGGUUGUAAGUUAGAGCCCCAUGUUGGGUG
rfam:Felis catus isolate Cinnamon breed Abyssinian chromosome A3, whole genome shotgun sequence.